ACACGUAGGGGGCAAGCGUUGUCCGGAAUUACUGGGCGUAAAGGGUGCGUAGGCGGCCAAAUAAGUCAGAUGUGAAAGUCCAGGGCUUAACCGUGGAAUCGCAUUUGAAACUGUAUGGCUUGAGUGCAGGAGAGGAGAGCAGAAUUCCUAGUGUAGUGGUGAAAUGCGUAGAUAUUAGGAAGAACACCAGUGGCGAAGGCGGCUCUCUGGACUGUAACUGACGCUGAGGCACGAAAGCGUGGGGAGCGAACAGGAUUAGAUACCCUGGUAGUCCACGCCGUAAACGAUGAGUGCUAGGUGUCGGGAGUCAAAUCUCGGUGCCGGAGUAAACACAAUAAGCACUCCGCCUGGGGAGUACGGUCGCAAGACUUAA
rnacentral:rRNA from 1 species